rnacentral:rRNA from 1 species
AGUGAACGCUGGCGGUAGGCCUAACACAUGCAAGUCGAACGGCAGCACAGUAAGAGCUUGCUCUUACGGGUGGCGAGUGGCGGACGGGUGAGGAAUACAUCGGAAUCUACUUUUUCGUGGGGGAUAACGUAGGGAAACUUACGCUAAUACCGCAUACGACCUACGGGUGAAAGCAGGGGAUCUUCUGACCUUGCGCGAUUGAAUGAGCCGAUGUCGGAUUAGCUAGUUGGCGGGGUAAAGGCCCACCAAGGCGACGAUCCGUAGCUGGUCUGAGAGGAUGAGCAGCCACACUGGAACUGAGACACGGUCCAGACUCCUACGGGAGGCAGCAGUGGGGAAUAUUGGACAAUGGGCGCAAGCCUGAUCCAGCCAUACCGCGUGGGUGAAGAAGGCCUUCGGGUUGUAAAGCCCUUUUGUUGGGAAAGAAAAGCAGCAGGUUAAUACCCCGCUGUUCUGACGGUACCCAAAGAAUAAGCACCGGCUAACUUCGUG